GCAUCUGGUGGAUGCCUUGGCGGCAACAGGCGAUGAAAGACGUAGUAGCCUGCGAUAAGCCUCGGGGAGCUGGCAAACAAGCUUUGAUCCGAGGAUUUCUGAAUGGGGCAACCCACGGCUUAGGCCGUAUCCCGCAAGGGAGGCUAACGCAGGGAACUGAAACAUCUAAGUACCUGCAGGAAAAGAAAUCAACCGAGAUUCCCCUAGUAGUGGCGAGCGAACGGGGA
rnacentral:rRNA from 1 species